GAGGCGCCCGCCGCCUGCCGCGGGGGCCGCUCGCGUCCUCCAUGGAGGCCGGAGAGGAACCGCUGCUGCUGGCCGAACUCAAGCCCGGGCGCCCCCACCAGUUUGACUGGAAGUCCAGCUGUGAAACCUGGAGCGUCGCCUUCUCCCCAGAUGGCUCCUGGUUUGCUUGGUCUCAAGGACACUGCAUCGUCAAACUGAUCCCCUGGCCGUUGGAGGAGCAGUUCAUCCCUAAAGGGUUUGAAGCCAAAAGCCGAAGUAGCAAAAAUGAGACGAAAGGGCGGGGCAGCCCAAAAGAGAAGACGCUGGACUGUGGUCAGAUUGUCUGGGGGCUGGCCUUCAGCCCGUGGCCUUCCCCACCCAGCAGGAAGCUCUGGGCACGCCACCACCCCCAAGUGCCCGAUGUCUCUUGCCUGGUUCUUGCUACGGGACUCAACGAUGGGCAGAUCAAGAUCUGGGAGGUGCAGACAGGGCUCCUGCUUUUGAAUCUUUCCGGCCACCAAGAUGUCGUGAGAGAUCUGAGCUUCACACCCAGUGGCAGUUUGAUUUUGGUCUCCGCGUCACGGGAUAAGACUCUUCGCAUCUGGGACCUGAAUAAACACGGUAAACAGAUUCAAGUGUUAUCGGGCCACCUGCAGUGGGUUUACUGCUGUUCCAUCUCCCCAGACUGCAGCAUGCUGUGCUCUGCAGCUGGAGAGAAGUCGGUCUUUCUAUGGAGCAUGAGGUCCUACACAUUAAUUCGGAAGCUAGAGGGCCAUCAAAGCAGUGUUGUCUCUUGUGACUUCUCCCCCGACUCUGCCCUGCUUGUCACGGCUUCUUACGAUACCAAUGUGAUUAUGUGGGACCCCUACACCGGCGAAAGGCUGAGGUCACUCCACCACACCCAGGUUGACCCCGCCAUGGAUGACAGUGACGUCCACAUUAGCUCACUGAGAUCUGUGUGCUUCUCUCCGGAAGGCUUGUACCUUGCCACGGUGGCAGAUGACAGGUAACGAAGAGAACUCUCUUUACAUGGCCUCAGAACAAGUGCUUGCAAGUAAUGGCAGCAAGGCCCUCUUGGUCUGGCCCUGGGUCAGCUAAUAUCCAGAUGUUCUCUCUCCCCAUCCAGACUCCUCAGGAUCUGGGCCCUGGAACUGAAAACUCCCAUUGCAUUUGCUCCUAUGACCAAUGGGCUUUGCUGCACAUUUUUUCCACAUGGUGGAGUCAUUGCCACAGGGUAUGUAUUAGCUGAACAGAUGGGUGGUGCUUUCUGCUGAGUAUACCAUGGAGCUUUUUAAGGAAAGAAACCAUCUAGAAUUUUCUUGCCUAUGAGGAAACCUUUAAGGCAAUUCAAGAUUAUAUAAAACUCAAAUGAUCGAUUUUGCUAAUAACGGUGUCCCAUUUUCUCUGAAUAUUUAACCUAAAUGUAAUUAAAGAUCUGUAAGUCAUGCCACCUAAUGGGCCAAGUUCACAAGGGAGAAUAAAAUUGAGAUGAUGCAUAAUAUAUGGGAAACGAUUUAGGGCUAAAAGACCACUUUACAGGU
rnacentral:sRNA from 1 species